UAGAAAAGAAGGUUUCUGAGCUGCAGAACUUAGUGUCCAGUCUGAGUUCAUCUGUGAACACGUCUGGAUCAAGUAACACAAUGGCCAACGAAAUGCAUAAAAAGAAGUUGUCUAAUAUUGAGACCUUGAUGACUGAUCUCGGCUCUUCACUGAGUUCACUCGCAUCAAAACAAGAGGACAACCAACAGAUGCUGGAGCACCAAAAGGAUCUGAUGGAC